UGGCUUCCAUCUGGAAGAAGUCUGGAGACAGGUGCUGCAUGGCUGUCGUCAGCUCGUGUCGUGAGAUGUUGGGUUAAGUCCCGCAACGAGCGCAACCCUUGCCUUUAGUUGCCAGCAGUUCGGCUGGGCACUCUAAAGGGACUGCCGGUGUUAAACCGGAGGAAGGUGGGGGAUGACGUCAAGUCCUCAUGGCCUUUAUGACCAGGGCUACACACGUACUACAAUGGCCGAUACAAAGGGCAGCGACACUGCGAGGUGAAGCCAAUCCCGUAAAAUCGGUCUCAGUCCGGAUUGGAGUCUGCAACUCGACUCCAUGAAGUUGGAAUCGCUAGUAAUCGUGGAUCAGCAUGCCACGGUGAAUACGUUCCCGGGCCUU
rnacentral:rRNA from 1 species